ACUUCGCCGCCGGCGCAGUUGCCGUCUGCUCUAGUGAACUCAGUCCAGGAUGGAAACGCCUCUAUGCUGCGCUCCGUGGGGUACAGCCUGUACCGUACAGGUUGUACCCCACGGAGCGCAACAUAGAGGCGUUCCCGUCAGGAACGAGGGUCACCACAGCGACGGCAGCUGUGCUGGCGGCGAAGU
rnacentral:pre_miRNA from 1 species